rnacentral:rRNA from 1 species
CCUACGGGUGGCAGCAGUGAGGAAUAUUGGUCAAUGGCCGUAAGGCUGAACCAGCCAAGUCGCGUGAAGGAAGAAGGAUCUCUGGUUUGUAACCUUCUUUUAUAGGGGAAUAAAGGUAUCCACGUGUGGAUAUUUACAUGUACCCUAUGAAUGAGCAUCGGCUAACUCCGUGCCAGCAGCCGCGAUAAUACGUAGGAUGCGAGCGUUAUCCGGAUUUAUUGGGUUUAAAGGGUGCGUAGGUUGUUUUUUAAGUCAGCGGUGAAAGUUUGUGGCUCAACCAUAAAAUUGCCGUUGAAACUGGAAGUCUUGAGUGUGUUUGAGGUAGGCGGAAUGCGUGGUGUAGCGGUGAAAUGCAUAGAUAUUACGCAGAACUCCGAUUGCGAAGGCAGUUUACUAAGCCAUAACUGACACUGAAGCACGAAAGCGUGGGGAUCAAACAGGAUUAGAUACCCUAGUAGUC